AGGAGUGGAAUUAUACAAGAAAAGAUAUUUAGCAUGGGUGAGGCGCUCGACCGGUCAAGAAAGUUGGAUAUGAAUGAAGGGAAGCUCUUGAUUGAAGAAUUGAUGAUCGAACUUCAAAAAAGAAAACUCCAAAAAGGAAAUCACCAUCGCUUCGAAGAAUUUGGGCCUACAAAGAAUCUGUUAUUUCACUCAUUGUAGAGAGAUCUCGUGACUUGCUCGUAGAACAUGCGAAACUCUUGCGGGUUUCGCGAGGGCACAGGGGAAGGGCACGCGAAAGGAGGGGACGCAAAUCCCAUGCUUCUCGAAAGAUGCUGAUGAGAGGCUAGACGAAGCCCGAGUCAUUCCUCGUGGCGUUGCAAAUGUCAUCAUCGAAGUCAAAGCUAAACUAAAGAAGAGGGAAAGAUCCGAGCAUUUUGCAAAUUGUGGUGGGCGUUUGACAAAAUGCUCGUAUGAGUUGAAACUGUCUUCCAGUGCAUGAAAUAGAAGCGGCAUGUUACUUUG